rnacentral:miRNA from 1 species
AAAUGUACCACCUGGGAAUUUUGUUAAAAUUUAGAUUCUGUUUCAACUGGUCUGAACCAGGUUGGGUGGGUCAAGGUUCUGCAUUUCCAGCAAGCUCCAAGGUGGUGUCAAC